rnacentral:rRNA from 1 species
CAUAACCCUUUGUUGUCCGACUCUGUUGCCUCCGGGGCGACCCUGCCUUCGGGCGGGGGCUCCGGGUGGACACUUCAAACUCUUGCGUAACUUUGCAGUCUGAGUAAACUUAAUUAAUAAAUUAAAACUUUUAACAACGGAUCUCUUGGUUCUGGCAUCGAUGAAGAACGCAGCGAAAUGCGAUAAGUAAUGUGAAUUGCAGAAUUCAGUGAAUCAUCGAAUCUUUGAACGCACAUUGCGCCCCCUGGUAUUCCGGGGGGCAUGCCUGUUCGAGCGUCAUUUCACCACUCAAGCCUCGCUUGGUAUUGGGCAACGCGGUCCGCCGCGUGCCUCAAAUCGACCGGCUGGGUCUUCUGUCCCCUAAGCGUUGUGGAAACUAUUCGCUAAAGGGUGCUCGGGAGGCUACGCCGUAAAACAAACCCAUUUCUAAGGUUGACCUCGGAUCAGGUAGGGAUACCCGCUGAACUUAAGCAUAUCAAUAAGCGGAGGAAAAGAAACCAACAGGGAUUGCUCUAGUAACGGCGAGUGAAGCAGCAAUAGCUCAAAUUUGAAAUCUGGCGUCUUCGACGUCCGAGUUGUAAUUUGUAGAGGAUGCUUCUGAGUAACCACCGACCUAAGUUCCUUGGAACAGGACGUCAUAGAGGGUGAGAAUCCCGUAUGCGGUCGGAAAGGUGCUCUAUACGUAGCUCCUUCGACGAGUCGAGUUGUUUGGGAAUGCAGCUCUAAAUGGGAGGUAAAUUUCUUCUA